UGGGGAAUUUUGGACAAUGGGGGAAACCCUGAUCCAGCCAUCCCGCGUGUGCGAUGAAGGCCUUCGGGUUGUAAAGCACUUUUGGCAGGAAAGAAACGUCAUGGGUUAAUACCCCGUGAAACUGACGGUACCUGCAGAAUAAGCACCGGCUAACUACGUGCCAGCAGCCGCGGUAAUACGUAGGGUGCAAGCGUUAAUCGGAUUUACUGGGCGUAAAGCGUGCGCAGGCGGUUCGGAAAGAAAGAUGUGAAAUCCCAGAGCUCAACUUUGGAACUGCAUUUUUAACUACCGGGCUAGAGUGUGUCAGAGGGGGGUGGAAUUCCGCGUGUAACAGAGAAAUGCGUAGAUAUGCGGAGAAACACCGAGAGCGAAAGCAGCCUCCUGGAAUAACACUGACGCUCAUGCACGAAAGCGUGGGGAGCAAACAGG
rnacentral:rRNA from 1 species